rnacentral:lncRNA from 1 species
UUGGCGGGGCUUUUGUCUCUCGCUGCAGCCAGAGCUUGGGAUCCCUUUCUGCUGUUCAACGUCCUCCACCUCUGCCCCCCUCUCCCCCAAGCCGGUGACAGGCUGUUGCCCUGUGAUCUGCAGGUCCUGGGACGUGCACAGCUAAGAUGCCAGGACAUUCUAGAAGCAUCUGAGUGAUUUGACUCUCCUGCCUGGACCCAGUGUACAGAUGGGAUUGUGCUUUAUUGCUGGACCCAGCAUUUAGGGAACGUCACUCCUGUGGAUGAUCAAAGCUACUCAGGGGGCUGAGGCAGGAGAAUCGCUUGAACUCGGGAAGCAGACGUUGCAGUGAGCCAAGGUCGCACCACUGCACUCCAGCCCAGGCAACAGUGUGAGACUCCACAUCAAAAAGAAAAAGAAAAAAAGUGUACUAACAAGACCCAGCACACAGAGGAGACUUUUACCAUUAUAUGAACACCCAUCAAACAGUACACAUCAUCAUUGUGAGUUCUGAAUCUCACACAUAGAGGAAGUCAAAGGUGGAAAAAUUGACUCUCAUAGUUGGAUCCAGU